rfam:Medicago truncatula strain A17 chromosome 5, whole genome shotgun sequence.
AUGGCGUGUAGCAUGCCCGUUUGUGGAUUACUCUGAUGUAUAAAUGUUAUUUAAUUGCUUUUGGGUAACGGGGUGUUACAAACCA